AAAAGAUGGAAUCGGAAUCGCAAUGACUCAUUACCUCAUUCUGUUUGGUUCGCCACCUGAAUCGGAAUCGAAAUGAAUCAUUUUCAUUGUCGGUGUUUGGUUCAGAUAGUUAUUAGAAACGAAAUUAAUAUACCAAUUGUACCCUUAUAAUAUAUUUUAAUUACUUUUAACUAUUUUGAAAACUCUAUUUAAAAUAUAAAUAUGAGCAACUUACAAAAUCUUAUAAUUUUGUACCAACACCUUAUUAUUUAAGAAUUUUUUAUUUUAUCAAAAUCUAGAUUUUUUUUCCCUCUUGACAUUACAGCAUCAUAUGUUUUUUUUUUUUGAGAAAAAGGUAGCGUGCUACCCGCUUCAUUCAUAUAGUAAGUGAAUUAAGCAACAUGGAUGAGGCAACAUGGCCUCAAGGUUGACGGAGACAAAAAGGA
rnacentral:lncRNA from 1 species